rnacentral:rRNA from 1 species
AAGGCCUACGGGACGCAGCAGUAGGGAAUUUUCGUCAAUGGGGGAAACCCUGAACCAGCAACGCCGCGUGAGGGAAGACGGUUUUCGGAUUGUAAACCUCUGUCCUCUGUGAAGGUGAUGACGGUAGCAGAGGAGGAAGCUCCGGCUAACUACGUGCCAGCAGCCGCGGUAAUACGUAGGGAGCGAGCGUUGUCCGGAUUUACUGGGUGUAAAGGGUGCGUAGGCGGCUAUGCACGUCAGUAGUGAAAUCCAUGGGCUUAACCCAUGAACUGCUAUUGAAACUGCACAGCUUGAGUGACGUAGAG